UGAUAAAUACUGGAUAAAGUUAGUAGUAGCAUUACUAAGUAAUGAAAGGUAGUAAUACGCUAUAUGAGAGCUUUUGCAUCCUAUUAGCUAGUUGGUGGGGUAAAAGCCUACCAAGGCGAUGAUAGGUAGCCGGCCUGAGAGGGUGGACGGCCACAAGGGGACUGAGAUACGGCCCUUACUCCUACGGGGAGGCAGCAGUGGGGAAUAUUGGACAAUGGAGGCAACUCUGAUCCAGCAAUUCUGUGUGUGUGAAGAAGGUUUUAGGACUGUAAAACACUUUUAGUAGGGAAGAAAGAAAUGACGGUACCUACAGAAGAAGCGACGGGCUAAAUACGUGCCAGCAGCCGCGGUAAAU
rnacentral:rRNA from 1 species